rnacentral:rRNA from 1 species
UAGGGAAUCUUCCACAAUGGACGAAAGUCUGAUGGAGCAACGCCGCGUGAGUGAUGAAGGGUUUCGGCUCGUAAAACUCUGUUGUUGGAGAAGAACAGGUGUCAGAGUAACUGUUGACAUCUUGACGGUAUCCAACCAGAAAGCCACGGCUAACUAACGUGCCAGCAGCCGCGGUAAUACGUAGGUGGCAAGCGUUGUCCGGAUUUAUUGGGCGUAAAGCGAGCGCAGGCGUU